rnacentral:sRNA from 1 species
UGUUUGCACUUAGCGGGAAGGAUGAGAAGCUUCGACUAAGGUUCGACUCGAGCGAAGCGAGAGAACGUUGCCGCAGGCAACGGCCCGAAGGGCGAGGCGCUUUAGCGCCGAGUAAUCCUUCCCCCACCACCA